CUUGGUGCCGGCGAAGGAUUUGAGUAGAACGGGCUCCUGGAAUCUCGAUGGCGGUGGGAUUGAGAUCCGCGGAGGGUAUAUCAAAUGAGUCUCCUUGGAGGAGGAUGUCAUCACUAUAACGUCAUACCUGUGCUCCUGGGGAAAGAGGGGACACCUGCUGACUGCACCCCAUAAAUGUCAUCGAGCAUGGCUCUGGCUCCAUGCGGUCUUGGCGCUCCCGCACAAGUCUGUGGAUACGGACGCAGGAGACGCUGCUCUCCGUGCUUCUUACAGAGAUGACCUGGUGCUAUGGUGGUGAGCAACAGACACGGACCCAGACCACAAAAAAAACUCCACUGGAAGGAUAUGGAGUCCCUCACAAAAUAGAGAGGAAAGUUGAAGAACCUAGUCUGUAAAGGACAGGAACCAGGGAGUCGUUGGGGAUCCAGAAGCAGGAACUGAUUGAUGGUCUCAUCCGGCUACUACAAGGAUGUGUCAGCCCCCACUUCUCUGCUUUUGCUACCCUCCAUCCAAGAGUCAGAGUCCAGGAGAGAGUGCCCGGUGGGCCUAGUGUGCUCCCACCCCAGGGAGGAAGACACCGUCUCUGAUUCCUGUGGGUAAUCAGAGUACCAUUCCCAGAACCCGGGGAAGCAGAGGCAAGACUGAGAAAACAAGGUUCGUGGAUCUCCUGGGCUUUGUCGGGAGAAGAGUUCUGGACGCUCAUAUCUAGAAGACACUCCACAAUCCCCAAGCGCUCCUUCCCCCAUGAUAGAGAUUCCCAAACUCUGAGUCUCAGGCCCCCUUGCAACUCAGGUGGAAACACAGGACUGCAUGACAGUUUCAGGCAUUGCUGGGCCUGCAGUCCAGACCCUUCUCUAGAAGUCUCUCGGCCUCUCUAGCCGGCGUCUGCCUGGCUCAGCUGCACGUCUCUCUGGGGACCUGCAGUUUAACCAUUUCACGCCCACCGGCACGUGGGUCAUACAGGCUGGGCCCUGAGCCUUGUCUUAACCUCGUAAAUUUUUUUCUAAAAGGGCGAGACACUAUUUCAGUCGCUGUUUUGCAGGGAGAAAAAGUCCCGUUUGUCCUUAUGAUUCAUUUUGGUGGUUUUUGGAUGAUGUUGUAUUGAUUCAUGACGACUCACUCGGCAUCUGGUAUGAAUUAAACCGGACUUUCUCUUGGUGACAGUAAAACGAAAGAUCUUAAACAAGGCUCACAUUAAAAAGAGGCCUGGUGGGAAUACGAGGGUUUGAGCAAUCUUUAGGACUUGAGUCAGCUCAGUGAGAUGCUGUACCAUCUCAGCAAGUUGAGCAGAAAUCGACACUCGGCCUCAGUGUGGUGCUGCCCAUGACGUGAUGUCUGCUCCUGGUUUCCACCCCGCUGACUCCUCGCAGGUCAGUCGGCUUCCCAUAAUGUGUGGUUUUACCCUGUAGCCCUUGCCCCAGUUA